ensembl:lncRNA
AAAAAAUCAUCAAAUAUUUAUAUUUUAUAUUAUCUAAGCUUAAUAUUAAAUAUGAAAGAUAUUUUUAAUAGUUUUGGUUUUCAGUUAAGGUUAACCACCCUGCUUUAAACGUGCACACAACUCAAGAGCUCAUUAGAAUAUUCAGCAGCUGAUGCCGCGAAUGCCUGUCAGCCAAUCACAGGCUGCUUUACUCUUUCUCUUUCAGUAAAGGUUUUGCAUUCUCAGCACACUUGAAUAAACGAGACGCACCUUCUUCAGACCUGUUUGAACGCAGAGAUUCAUGAAGCACCAGCAGAAUGAUUGCUGAUUGUCAGUUCUGACCCAAACCGUCACAAUCAAUUCAAGGCAACAAUUAACUUAAGGAUGUGUUUAUCUGAUUUGACCAGUUUCCAUUAAGACUGACUUUAAUUCUCAACAGGAUGGGUCUGGAGCUCGACGAGGGAUGGUCUGAGUGUUUCCACGCCUCGGCUGAUAGGAAAAGACCUCCAUGAAGACUCCUGAAUGACAUCAGACGUCAAUGAGACAAAGUCAGAUCAACAACAUAUUAAAGGGGUCGUAUGAUGCUGAUAAAAAGAACAUUAUUUUGUGUAUUUGGUGUAAUGCAAUGUGUUUAUGCGGUUUAAGGUUAAAAACACAUUAUUUUCCACAUAAUGUACAUUAUUAUUUCUCCUCUAUGCCCCGCCUUCUGAAACGUGUAGAUUAUUACAAAGCUCAUCAGUCUAAAAAGCGAGGUGUGCUCUGAUUGGCCAGCUAUCCAGUGCGUUGUGAUUGGCUGAAUGCCUCAAGCGUGUGACGGAAAUGUUACGCCCCUCACUACACUGUGAUGUGUCCCGGAGCGACGAGACAAGACCAAUAAAACCCAUUACAAACGAGGCAUUUGUUGCAUCCAAAACUUACUGUAUAAAGAACAACAUUUUCUCCUCCAUCCCUGAUACUUUGGAACCUCUUCAGCCCCAACAGAUCCACUAAAGAUGCCAUCUCUCACGUCCUGCACUCUUCUCUCACACACAUUGACACCAAUAACAGGAACUAUGUAAGGCUGCUAUUUAUCGACUAUAGCUCAGAUUUCAAUACUAUAGUUCCCAUAAAGCUAGCUUCUAAACUCAUGGACCUCAGACUAAAUUCUUCACUCUGUGACUAGAUUCUUGAUUUCCUCACCG